GGUGGGAAACAGUGUGUGUCUCAGAGCGCCCUGGCGGGAGAAAUUGCGCCUCUGGGAAGGUAAUUUUUUUUUCUUUUUUUUGGCCUCUUGAAAAUGUGCAAGAAUUCCGCGGGCCCACGCUUUCUUUGUGUGGCGGGCAGCGCCAAGCGCUUUGUGCUUCACAAGGAGAAAAUGGCGAGUCCUAUUGUGUUUAGGCCAUUUUCUUCCGGUACGAGGAUUUCCCAAGUUCUAAAUACUUCUGCUGAAAGUAGCCCUUUCGUUCUCAGAAAAGUGUGAAUCGCUAAGGCUCGGCCCGGUGGCCUGAACUGGGUACUGACCUCUCUUUAAAAAUAAGAGCCUGCUUUCUUGCCAUUGGGGGACAUGUAUCAAAACAAAAUAUGAUCGGUUUGUGCAGGUGGUGCCUUGUAAAUAUAUGCAGCAACUCUCAGAGUUUUGGAAAAUAAGUGGCUGUUCAUAUGUGCUUGUAUACAGGCGUUUAAAUGACAUACUGUCCCUGGUAGUCGGUAUAAUCUGAAAAAGAGAAUAAAAGAUGAAAGCUAAUUAGAUGUUUGCAGGGAGGAGAGAGGGUUUUUCUUUUGUUUUGAUUUAGUUUAGUUGUUGUUUUUUCCUUUUUCCUUUCAGCCCCUUGAGGAAACCCUGGAGAGGUUACCUAUUACUCUGCCAGGUCAGUCUUUUGUCUUGUAAACCCCAGAUGAAACCUCAUUUUGGACACAGGAAUUAUUAAGUACUUAGCCACUACAGCAUAUGCCUUCUUUGCCUUGCUAGAAAAAUAUAGGGUGUUAGAGCAGAGAUUCAAUGGUAGUGCUUUGUGCCUGUGUGUGAAAGAUUUAUCUAUGUACCUAUUAAUAAUCUAUCAUCUAUCUAUACAUGGACGGAAGAUAAUGAUUGAGAAGGUUGUUGUUUGGUUCAUGUCAUUUUUGUACAUUUUUUUACGCUUGCUUAAACCAUAUGUAAAAAUGGGCAAGCAUGUCUACACAAAGAUAUCUGUUGUACUUUUUUUGGAAGAAGAAAAAAGAAUAGCAGAUUGAAAAAUAAUAUUUCUUAUAUACCACAAUUCUUUGAAGCUUUAAAUGAGGUGUUGAUUUGUCUGCUUGAAAAAUAAUGAAAUGCAAACUUUCCCCCAUCUGCUUCCUGUAUUCUCACAGUUUAGUAGCAAAUAUAGAAAAAAAAAAUGUGAAAACAACUGGGAUGGAGGACAGAACUGAAAGCCUAUAGACUUUUCUCCCUUUGACAUCAUCUUAAAAUGUGGGGGAGUCAAAUUUGUGCAGAGGCAUUGUGACUUUCAUAUUUCAAAAUGCACCACUACCAUCUCCUGUCAUGUGGAUCAAGACCAUGGACAGCGAACUAAUAUUAAAUCACUGAGCAAAAGGGAUUCUAGUAGAAUGGUAUGAGAGCACAAUGGGGGUUUACAUACAAAAAAUGUUGGAAACAAAAAAGUCUUUAUGAUAUAUAAAAGGAAUUAGACUCCUUUAAAACAUAGCAUUUUAAACUAUUCUUCCAAGUUUUAAAGAAACAAUGAUUUGUAUGUUCAGUUUACAUCCUGUCUCACAUAGUACAUAUUCUUUAUACAAUUAAAAUAAGAUGAAUCUACUUUGUUACUGAUAAAUAACAAAUUUAAAUCCAUCUACUUUAUAUAUGAGUUUUCAUAAAGAGCUGAAACAGUGGAGAUAGAGAAAUUUACUAUUUUAGGCUGACAUUCGCUGAAUGACACUAGAACAAAUUAAAUUGAUUUUUAUCAGAGACUGAUUUUCUAAAUGCAUAGAAUUGGAAAAAUUAAAUGCCACUUUGAUAGACAGAAAUAAUAUGAAUGGAGAUAUAAUCCAACUCCUUCUUUUACUCCUGGUUAGGCACUGUAAUCUAUAACUGCCAGUGUAAUGCUAUGAGCAAACAUACGUUGUUGUUGUUUUUCCAAAGAAAGUCACAGAUCUUGCAUAUACAUUGAUUCAAUUUCAGACAAUUGGUUCAGUUUGGGUCUGUGUCAAGUUAUCACUUUCGUUUGUUUUGUACAUGGUUUGAGUUUCCUUUAUAUCUUUACAGAAUUAGAAUUCAUUUAAAAGCAUUUCAUUUGUGGAUUAUGUAACCUUAGGAAUUGCUCGUUGAAAUUUCCAGUUAUGUGUAUGAUUUGGUUUAUUUCAUAACUUGACUUUCAGUGUGACCUACAAAGGCCUGGAAAGUCAUAUAAAGUAAAAAUUAUACUCAGGUUAAAUAAAUUGAAAUAGCCUACAUUUAAAUGUAAAUGACAUCAAUUGACUAGAAUAUUAGCAUUUAUGAAGAAACUAAUUCUUGAUCUUUAUCCAUCAGAUUUAGCUUUAGGAUGCAUUGCAGUUAUUGCGACGUGUGGAUUCCUUAAGUUAAACUAAAUAUAUUAGAUAUGUUUUUGACACACAUAAAACUUUUGUUGUUUAAGUCCUCAAAGUACUUGAGGAGAACAUGCAAUGACAUUUUACCGUGUCCUGAUCUGGACCUUGGUGAGGUCUCCGUGGUUCAGCGAGGGCUGAGAAGCAGGGUUAGGUUGGGAGAGAGUCAUUGUUAUACGUCCGGGAUGGCAUCGACGAUAAGGUUAAGCAUAAACCUAAACCUUGGCCUGGGAAAAGGAUGGCGGCGGGAUUGAGAAGAGAGGAUGCAGAUAAGCCUUGCUUCUGCUGCUUGCGCACAUAGUUAAGAGGCGGUCUCUCAUCUGGCGCGUGGGCUCCGUCCGGCCUAAGGUGCUUAUUUUGCUGUUAAUUGGCCAACCAAGAGUAAGCGAACAAGAGCCCAGGAGUUUAGGUGCAGGAAUCUGGAUGCGACGUCGUGAGGGUUGUUGACGCUUGUCUCCAUUUUAGGGAGAGGGAGUUUGCUUUGAGCAAGCCUAGGCUUAGAUGGGAGGGCGGUGAGGGAAGGUCUGGAGAGGCUGGGGGCACGACGUCUUAAGGGGGAUGCUUUUGGGCCACCGUGUUGGAGCCAGCGGGGGUAUAGGCUGGGACAGGGCGCUCGCCCUCCGCCUUGACCAGGCGCAGCUCCUGGGGGCUGCGCAGCUUCUGCGGCUCUUUGGUUUCAAGGACACAGCGAGCUGCUCAGGACUUUGGGAGCCAACAUCUGUCUGACUGGUGACGUCAGCAGCCCGUGUAAUCCUCUUGUGCUGAAGGCAGAUGCCUUAUUUGUUUGGCUGGAGCGAGCCAUUAAUCCCUAAUUCUGGAUCAGCAAGCGAGGGGGAAAGACCGGACUGCUCCGACCCACCCCCUCCCCACCCCCUACCUCCACCCUAAAGCACCUUAUACCUCGGAUGCCUCUCAGCCUGCUCUUUCCUCUGCAAACGCGCUGGGCAGCGAGUGAAAACGCGCCGGUCCUCUGCAGGGGGUGCGUUCUGGGGGUCUCUGCGCCAAGACCGGCUCUGGCUACUUUCUCCCUUCCUCGGACCCUGGAGCCGGAGCAGGCUUUUCCCUCGGGCCGGCCACGCCGUUGGGGACGCCGAGAAAGGAGCCGCCGCCCCCGCCGCCUCCGGUCCUCCCGCCCGUAGAGGUCAACUCCCCUCACCCCUUCCUCUCCUGCUCGCCCUCCCUCCGCCCGGCUCCUGCCCCGGGAGCUUCCAGACUUCGAACCCUGGCGGCAAGCUGAAGAGUGCGCGACCUCUCUGCUGCCCUGCAGCGAACCCCGAACCGGGCCCACCCCCGAGGUCCGUGCUCCCGGGCAGUGGAGGAAGCCUUAGCGAGCAGCCUUUUCUCUCUGCAGCAAAACCGUAACCAGACCAGAUGGGCCGCCCCGCUCUCCCGGGAAUAGGCAGGUGCGGUUGAGUUCAUUUUCCGCAUUACAAAGAAAGAUGACCCAGAGCGCCCUUGGCGUGUCAUCUUUUCCCCCAAAAUCUUCCCAUCGAAACGCGGUAACGUUAUCAGAAGACUCCGAGACUAGGCAUUAUCUGCGUGUUUAUCUUACCUACACACGCGCAUGUGUAUUGUCCUUUUUAUGUGCUAGGUUUCCUCUCUGACAGCGGGAAAUGACUGGCAAGAUAUCUGCACCAGAACGUGCAAUGGAGCGCCCCUUAAAACCUGCCGGCCCGUGCACGUGCCAUAGAAAGGAUUCAGGGCGAAACAACUCGGUUCAUUGCCUUCGGUAAAAUAACACGAUUACGAAAUUAGAUAUGCACCGGAUGGGGUGAUUAACUGCGAUCCACGGCGUCACCUGACAGCUAGAUUUUAGGCGAAUGCAAAGGUGUGCUGUGAAAUGGCGUGCAGAUCUGUGCAUAUGCAUUCGCCGAAACAUGCACCUUCUACACUUCCACCCAGCAGACUAAUUAUCAGUGGCUCUGGCAGAUGUGGCAGGAGGCGAGCUGAGACCCGAGCUGGGCGGAUGAGUUAUGGCUCUAGGGGUAGGGACUCAGAGCAGGGCGAGGGGAAAGAGCAAGGAUCUCGAGAAAGUGUGGUCGUCGCGGUGGGUCGGUUGCUUUCCGGAUCAAGAUCAGAGACUCUGCCCUCCGUGUUCACAGCGGACCUUGAUUUAAUGUCAUACAAUUAAGGCACGCGGUGAAUGCCAAGAGCGGAGUCUACGGCUGCGCACGAAGGACACCAGAGCGUCUCAGGGUCAGAGAGCGGAAUGGGCAGUUGCAGGCGGUUUGUAGAAGGAUUCCAUCCCUUGCCACAUUUGGAACCUGUUCCAGGACCAACCCAGUUAGAGUCUGUAAGCGCUUUGGAAAUCCGCAGGCAAAUCCCCACGAGAGAUUUUAGGGUAGCUUCAUUGACAGCUGUCAGGGAAGCGGUGGUUCCCCUUUCUGUGAAUCUUGUAGAGAGAGCAGAAGAGUUUAGAAAGCACUGGCUCUUUCAACAGCAGGUAGUAGUAGUGUGAUCUUCCAGGAUCCUGGGCCAAGCUGGGGAAGCAAAACAGAAAAGAAAGAGGAGGGUAGCAUUAAAUGGCGCCCUGGCCACAUUGUGCAAGGAAACCUCAAAUCCGUGAGGACAGGAAGGACACCCCGACCUCUCCUCUGGGACUUCGCUUUUAUUCUGCCCAGUCUCCAGUUGGCCUUGCCCGCUUUAAAACACCAAUAUGACUUCCUUGUCUUGGCACAAACAAGACGGACAAAUCGGUCAAAGGAGUAGAAUCAGGGGACAGGACCAGGUCAAAAACUUUACAAGGACUCCGUAAAAUGAGUUAAUUUGGCAGUCAGUGAGUUGGACUGUGUUCAGGUAGCAGUUCCGCACGACGGCCUUGAAGCCCAGGAAAAGCCCAGGAUGAGAAAGUGAGCCUUGAUGGAUGUCUUUGUUCUGCCUUGGCCUGCAGGGGCUGGGAACAAAGAGAGAAAGCUUAGAAGGAUGCACCAAAGUGGCCGCGCCCUCCUCGCCUGGUGCUGUCCGCGGUGCUGAUCUGACCCUCGUUCUUCGUAAUUAAACCGGAGAAGCAAUAGGACCGUCUCACCUCCACACCAAGGAAUAACAGGAUAUUAAGGAAUUUGCAGGAUAAGCUUAAAAAGGAGAGAAAGACUGCAAUCAGUGACACAAUUGUUUACCGAAAUAGCCCACCACAGUUGACGCCAGGCUUGGCCCGGGCUUUUUCAGUAUUCGCGUAGGCGUGCGCCUCUGGGUGCAGUCAGUGUAUGUUUAUUGGGAAACAGUUUCAGAAUAUUUAGGUUGAAACCAGAAUCUAAGCAUGUGGGCAAGACUUGUAAGAAAGAGGUUGGGGAUAAUGAAGCCCUUAUCAUUUUUCUUUUGUAAAUCAUCUGCUUUAAAUCAUAGAAAUGUAAAGUCCUUAGCGAGCUAUCUUAGUACAGAUGUGGUCACGAAAAGGACUCGCAAGAAACUAAAGUGCGGGCCUCGAAACUCCCCAGGAAGAGAUGGGACGGGGACCUACUAGGUGAGCCGGAGCCGGAGCGGGAGUCAGCGCACCUGCUGCCUUCAUAAGCGCGUCCAGAGGAUGGCCCACCUCUGCAGGCCUGCGCCGCGCAUCCCCCAGUCUGGAGGCACUGAGGAGCCAAGAGGCCCAAAACCCACACUGCGGGGGAAAAAUAAACAAACAAAAACCAAAAAAUCACAACCGCAGCAGCAUCCUCUCCCACGCACUGAAGAUUCACGUUAGGAACGGAGGGUCGGAUGGAUCCCUAGUGAUAGAUUCCAUAAGUGCACAAACUUCUUAGUACAUUUCAUUGUCCUGACCCAGAUAUUGACAGCUCAAAAUGUAAACAAUAAAAAUGUAGAUAUCCUAACCUAAUGGCAAGGGAAAGAAAAAAAAGGGGGGAAAUCAAUCCAUUAGUAACCAGUCCCGACUCUGAAAAAAAUUUGACAGACUUUGCUUGCAUUUGCUACUCACAAAUUUUAAACACGGUGAAAAUAGUGACAGAUAGAACAACCCAGAAUGAACCAGAGGCCGUGGUUGAUUUUGUUCCAGAUACAGAAAUGGACCCUACAUUGACAAUGACCUGGAAGCGAUGUGCUCAUUAGGUUUGCUCUUAUACACCUGAGUAAUGGAAGUGAAUCAAAUGUCUCAGGAAAUAAAGCAGCAGGGCCCACUACCCUCAGUGGGUGAUCUUUGUCCUCUGCCUCAGAGAGUUUGUUUGUCCUCUACUUGGUCUUUCAUCUCCGCUCAUAACUUGCAUUUAUAUUUAACUUUAGGGGUAGCGUGAAUACCACCCGAAAAACAAAAGGAAAGUAUUGAAUGCACUCCCCAUGUAAGAAUUAAAAGCAGUCACUGGAAACUGAAAUUGGUUGAAAGCAUCAUAGUGAUAAAGGCCUUGAUUUCCUUCCAGUAUUUGUUAAACUGCACUGACCUCCUAAAUCCACAUCCCCUCCUGAGAUUCUCAAAACAACAAGGAUCUAGGGCUGCAAGAUAGUCCUGCCUGAAUUUUGUUAUUAAUCACAUUACAUAAUCAGAGCAUCUAAUCCCCCUCAUUUUAAUCCUACCUGUCCAGGACAGUCCUAAAGCCAUCCUUCGGAAAGCUUAAUCAGUUUAAACAUUGCUUUAGAAAGAGAAUUGAAGUACACAAUAUGAAAGAGAGGCUAAAAUACUACUUAAAUAAUGGAGUGAACACACAAUUGAGUAAUUUGAUUGCCAAGAUUAAAUUCAGAGUGUUUAUUGAUCCGUAAUGUUGCUAGAUUUUUAAGACUAUUUAUUUUCUAUUUCUUUUGAAAACAAUCAUCCAGUUUAAUGUCCAUUGCAAAUUUUCCUGCUAUGAAAUUCUAUGCUCAGCCGUUUGGUACUAAAACAACCCAGGCUUAGCAAUUGAAGAAUUUCGGCGAGGCGUGCCGUGGGAGCCCUUUGACAAUCAAGACUUUCAUAUAGGGGUCUGAAAUUAAAGCUUCUCGGCACCAUUUAGGAACAGCUUGACCCUCUGAAAUACUCAACGACAACCCUCUAGGGACAGAGUUUUCCUGGGAACUAGAUGCUGGCGCAGUGAGCCGGAGGUAUCCGGUGUCAACAGUGCCAGAGCGCCCUCUGCUGCCUAAUAGCGGCAGGACACCAGCUACAAAGGCCAGAUGGCACUGAAUCGCAAUAAACCGACGAAACAUUAAGCUCUUAGGAACAUUUAAUCUGUGAAAUUUAAAAGCUCUCAUCCUAUUCUCCUUUUGAAAAGGCCACCUGAUUUUGAUUCUGAAUGCUUCUUGGACAAUCUCCUAUUCUAGAGGGUGUGAAAAGCCAGUGUCUCAAGGUUUCCAGUCUAUCAUUUCUGUAGGUCUAUUUCUCACCCUUUCUUUCUUGAGCUUUAUAUGGAAAUAUAAAAUUACAAAUAACAGAGAAAGACCUUUGUGCUAAAUAGAUGGGUUUCUCCAGAUAGCUAAUAUCUGGUAAGGGGGAAUUUAAUUAAAAUAAAGGUUCAAAAUGGAGCUUAACUAUUUUUAAAAGAUAAUUUUUGAAGAUCAGGGCAAGAUGGAAAGAAUUAUUUUGCUGCUUUGUUUUGAUGACCGAAUCGUAUUUUGCUCACACUUUGAGAAUAAUAGAAUCAGUUAUCUUUGAGGAGUAAGUUGAAAAUGUUGCUCCAUACUAAUAGAUACACUCUGUCCUUGAAGUCUUUGUAAUGAGUUUAUACCCAGAGUCGGCUUGCGAAGAUUUCUUUAGAAAAGGAUGCACUCUGAGUAGAUGUAAUCAGAUAUGGUACCAGCACAUGCAAACCCAGAAGUAUUAUUUGCAUAAAAAAUUGGUUUUUCAGCAUGGAACAAUCUAUUCUCAGAUGAAAUGGAGUUGACUUUUUAAAAGGUUAAAAUCCUUUUUAAUUUUAAUGUAUUAUAGGCUUUAUAUUAAUUAAAAUAAAUGUACAGCUGUAUUAAUUCAACACUGUGAAUUUCAAAAUUACAGCCUAUUUUGAAAACUCAUCUUUCCCACAGAGAAUGUUAUUGACUAUAUAUCAUUGCUAAUGUAAUAAAUGCUUUUAUUAAUUAUGUGGUUGUUAAAUAAAUCUUAUAAAAAUAAAAUUCUGUUAAUUUUAUGGUGUCAGAAUGAAAUAGCUGUCUAACAUCACUUAUUUUAAUCCCAGCUUUUAAAUGAAAGUUCUUAUAAAAAUAUGUAGCUAUAAAAUUACUGAGAAUAUUAAUCUAAAUUUUUUAAAUAUUUGAUUUUACAAUUAGCUACAAUAGAAUGAAAAUAAGACUUGAUUGAAUGUUAAACCAAAGCAAACAUCUGAUGAAAUAUAUCAAAUUUCACAUAACUGUAAGUACAUUUGUCUUAUGAAAAUCACUUCUCCAAAGAGUAUACUUAGGUGAAAAAAAGAAAAUUGUUAAAAUGUUUGUGUUUCCAUUCUAAUAACUGUUUUAAGAAUUAAAAUAUUUUCCUUCUUACUUAAUUUAAAUUUCUUUCUAAAUAUAUUUAUAUUUACCCAGGAGAGAAUAAUCACAACGAUAGUUUUGAAAUAUUUCUAGUAGUUAUAAAUUUGAAAAUAACUUCUAAGUAAAUAACAUGCAUAAUACAUAGAAAACAUUCUUUUCAUUUUAACUGUCUCUAUACUUUAAGAAAAAAACCUGAAUAAAACCAGCUAGGUAAGUUUUUCGGUGUUUAAAGGAGCUGCCCAAACUAAAAAGCAUGACUGAAUAUUUGCGCUUUGUAUAGAAGAAUUUUCAACCUCUCUUUAUUUUAUAUUUGUACAGGGUAACAUAUUGUAAAUGAAACUGUCUUCCUAAUUCCUCCCAACGAUUUAGAAUCCAUGGAGACUUUCACUUCUAUAGGCGAAUAUUCAUCUGAACAGUGUAUUUAUGGGAAGCACUAAUGCAACACAAGCAACUCUAAGGAUUACCCACAACAAUUGUGCACUGUCCUAUGAAAUUAAUAUAGAAUUGAAUACUUAGGGACCACCAGAAAAAGCUCUAAUCAUGGACUUCAGAUUAGAAAGAAUAGGCUUCAGUACAGUCAGAAUCUUUUUAUCCCGUAUUCAGACUCAGCUGUCACUGCAGUUUCCAUAAGCUGCUGUCAAGUAAUGAGUAUAACAUAGAAAUAUGACUGAAUAGGAAUUGAAAAUAUAAUGCCUUAACAUCGAGUACAAUUGGGAUGUCAAGAAGGUGAAAUUGACUAUCAAACAAAUAUAUCUUAAGAUAGAAGAUUGUUAGUUGCCAAUUCAGGGAAAAUAUUUAUGUUAAAAAUCCAACUGUUAAAAAGUUGAAAAUCCUGGAUGUCAGAGGCAGAAGAUGCAUAAUAGGAUGAAAUGGGAAUAAGUUAAGUCUUUGAGAUGUGUAUAGAAAACAAAGAGACUGGACUUCACUUCCAUUUUUGAUACUCCACUACAAGAUAGCUAUGCAGAAAAACUUUCAUAAAUUACUAGAUAUUACCUAAAAGAAUAUUUCUUCUUUGGGCUGUGUUGCAGUUUUAACCUUGUUGAGUUUAAAGAGGGAAACAUUGGAAGUUGAAUAAAUAAAAUAUCAAUUUAUUAAUCAAUUAUUUUUAUCCUAUAGAUUUGAAAAGCAGAAUUGUGUUUUCCAGUUGUUGAUUAAACUCUUUUAAUUAUAAAAAGAUUUUAUAUGUAGUGUUAAUACUACAAUCAAUAUAACAAAACAUAUGCUUGAUAAAAAUAUCUUCUUCCUAUCUAUUUGUUUAAAUAAAAAAUACAGUGAAAUGCGAAAAAUAAGUUGGGUUUAGCAGAUUGCUUCUUAUUGAUUUCAGUGUUCCAAGUAGUAAUCACAAUGAUGCAGACAGACAGAAUCCUUAAUUUAGACCAGCUUGCCAGGCUUCUCAGGAGUUCACAACAUUUGGCAUUAGUGCAGGAGUCAGGGUCCCAGGUGAGAGUUAAAAAUAUCAAGAGCCUUAGACAAGGUCAAUUCAAAGGUUAUGAAGUUUGGGCCACUAUGAAAACAUGUGGAACAAAAUGUUCUUUUGUCCAGAGUUCUAUAUUAUCCAUUUUCCAGAUCAGAGGAGCAACUCUUAUUUGGACUCCCAUGACCUGAUUCUAUCCUCUCAGUGUCUAAAACUGGGACAAAGUAGUGUCAUUUCAAAUUGUCCUGAUAAUAACAGAUACAUAGAGAUUGGCUGUGGCAGCACCAAGACUUCAUUCUUCAAUAUGUGAAUUUUAUGAUCUGACAUAUCAAAAAGAAUGAAAUUUUGUUUCUAUGAAGAACCUUGUUUUACCUGAAUUUUCGAUUAAGCCAGCACAAAUAUUUGUGAAGUUCCACUAAAUAUCAGGAAAAUGUGUUGGUUGGCUAGAGGAAGGAUAUCUGGGUUUGUAUUUGUAUAAAUACAUGAGAAUAGAUGAAAAAUUAGGGUGAGCUUUUAAAACAUGGUUGAGAAAAAAUAAAAUUAUCUUCAGCUGUGGUGUGGGCUCAUCAGCAGUUAUCUUAUUAUCAGAUAAUCUACUUGCUGAAGUCACAUGGUACAAGAGGAUUAUUAAUAAAGAAUCAUGCAAAUGA